CCUACGGGUGGCAGCAGUGGGGAAUAUUGGUCAAUGGGCGCUAGCCUGAACCAGCCAAGUAGCGUGAAGGAUGACUGCCCUAUGGGUUGUAAACUUCUUUUAUAUGGGAAUAAAGUGCAGUAUGUAUACUGCUUUGCAUGUACCUUAUGAAUAAGGAACGGCUAACUCCGUGCCAGCAGCCGCGGUAAUACGGAGGAUUCGGUCGUUAUCCGGAUUUGUUUGGUUUAAAGGGAGCGCAGGCGGGUUGUUAAGUCAGUUGUGAAAGUUUGCGGCUUAACCGUAAAAUUGCAGUUGAUACUGGCAUCCUUGAGUACAGUAGAGGUAGGCGGAAUUCGUGGUGUAGCGGUGAAAUGCUUAGAGAUCACGAAGAACUCCGAUUGCGAAGGCAGCCUGUUGGAAUGUAACUGACGCUGAUGCUCGAAAGUGUGGGUAUCAAACAGGAUUAGAUACCCCUGUAGUC
rnacentral:rRNA from 1 species